rnacentral:rRNA from 1 species
CUGCGAGGUGUGCUGGAGGUAUCGGAAGUGAGAAUGCUGACAUGAGUAGCGACAAAGAGUGUGAGAAACACUCUCGCCGAAAGUCCAAGGGUUCCUCAGCAAGGCUAAUCCGCUGAGGGUGAGCCGGCCCCUAAGGCAAGGCCGAAAGGCGUAGUCGAUGGGAACUCAGUUUAAUAUUACUGGGCCAGAUGAGAAGUGACGGAUGGUGUAAGUUGUUCCUCCUUAAUGGAUUG